rnacentral:rRNA from 1 species
ACCGGCUUCAGGUGUUACCGACUUUCAUGACUUGACGGGCGGUGUGUACAAGACCCGGGAACGUAUUCACCGCAGCGUUGCUGAUCUGCGAUUACUAGCGACUCCGACUUCAUGAGGUCGAGUUGCAGACCUCAAUCCGAACUGGGACCGGCUUUUUGGGAUUCGCUCCACCUCACGGUAUUGCAGCCCUUUGUACCGGCCAUUGUAGCAUGCGUGAAGCCCAAGACAUAAGGGGCAUGAUGAUUUGACGUCAUCCCCACCUUCCUCCGAGUUGACCCCGGCAGUAUCCCAUGAGUUCCCACCAUUACGUGCUGGCAACAUAGAACGAGGGUUGCGCUCGUUGCGGGACUUAACCCAACAUCUCACGACACGAGCUGACGACAACCAUGCACCACCUGUUCACCAGUGUCCAAAGAGUCCCGUAUUUCUACGGUGUUCUGGUGUAUGUCAAGCCUUGGUAAGGUUCUUCGCGUUGCAUCGAAUUAAUCCGCAUGCUCCGCCGCUUGUGCGGGUCCCCGUCAAUUCCUUUGAGUUUUAGCCUUGCGGCCGUACUCCCCAGGCGGGGAACUUAAUGCGUUAGCUGCGUCACGGAAACCGUGGAAUGGUCCCCACAACUAGUUCCCAACGUUUACGGGGUGGACUACCAGGGUAUCUAAGCCUGUUUGCUCCCCACCCUUUCGCUCCUCAGCGUCAGUUACGGCCCAGAGAUCUGCCUUCGCCAUCGGUGUUCCUCCUGAUAUCUGCGCAUUCCACCGCUACACCAGGAAUUCCAAUCUCCCCUACCGCACUCUAGUCUGCCCGUACCCACUGCAGGCCCGAGGUUGAGCCUCGGGAUUUCACAGCAGACGCGACAAACCGCCUACGAGCUCUUUACGCCCAAUAAUUCCGGAUAACGCUUGCGCCCUACGUAUUACCGCGGCUGCUGGCACGUAGUUAGCCGGCGCUUUUUCUGCAGGUACCGUCACUCUCGCUUCUUCCCUGCUAAAAGAGGUUUACAACCCGAAGGCCGUCAUCCCUCACGCGGCGUUGCUGCAUCAGGCUUCCGCCCAUUGUGCAAUAUUCCCCACUGCUGCCUCCCGUAGGAGUCUGGGCCGUGUCUCAGUCCCAGUGUGGCCGGUCACCCUCUCAGGCCGGCUACCCGUCGACGCCUUGGUGAGCCAUUACCUCACCAACAAGCUGAUAGGCCGCGAGCCCAUCCCAGACCGAAAAAUCUUUCCAACCCCCACCAUGCGAUGAGAGCUCAUAUCCAGUAUUAGACGCCGUUUCCAGCGCUUAUCCCAGAGUCCAGGGCAGGUUGCUCACGUGUUACUCACCCGUUCGCCACUGAUCCACCAAGCAAGCUUGGCUUCACCGUUCGACUGCA